GAUGAGGUGGCCGAGUGGUUAAGGCGAUGGACUGCUAAUAACAUUGUGCUCUGCACGUGUGGGUUCGAAUCCCAUCCUCGUCG